rnacentral:rRNA from 1 species
UACGGGGGGAGCAAGCGUUGUUCGGAUUUACUGGGCGUAAAGGGCGCGUAGGCGGCCACCGCAAGUCGACUGUGAAAUCUCCGAGCUUAACCCGGAAAGGUCAGCCGAUACUGCGGGGCUAGAGUGCAGAAGGGGCAACUGGAAUUCUCGGUGUAGCGGUGAAAUGCGUAGAUAUCGAGAGGAACACCUGCGGCGAAGGCGGGUUGCUGGGCUGACACUGACGCUGAAGCGCGAAAGCUAGGGGAGCGAACGGG